rnacentral:rRNA from 1 species
UCCAACCAGCAGCAAUGCCGGGGAAGAUCUAGCGGCGAACGGGUGAGUAACACGUGAGGAACCUGCCCCGAAGUCUGGGAUAACCCGAGGAAACUCGAGCUAAUACCGGAUGUCCUCCUCUGGUCGCAUGGCCGGUUGAGGAAAGAUUUAUCGCUUCGGGAGGGCCUCGCGGCCUAUCAGCUAGUUGGUGGGGUAACGGCCCACCAAGGCGUCGACGGGUAGCUGGUCUGAGAGGACGAUCAGCCACACUGGGACUGAGACACGGCCCAGACUCCUACGGGAGGCAGCAGUGGGGAAUCUUGCGCAAUGGGCGAAAGCCUGACGCAGCAACGCCGCGUGCGGGAUGAAGGCCUUCGGG